GACGAACGCUGGCGGCGUGCUUAACACAUGCAAGUCGAACGAUGAAGCCGCUUCGGUGGUGGAUUAGUGGCGAACGGGUGAGUAACACGUGGGUAAUCUGCCCUGCACUCUGGGAUAAGCCUUGGAAACGAGGUCUAAUACCGGAUAUGACACACGAAGGCAUCUUCUGUGUGUGGAAAGUUCCGGCGGUGCAGGAUGAGCCCGCGGCCUAUCAGCUUGUUGGUGGGGUAGUGGCCUACCAAGGCGACGACGGGUAGCCGGCCUGAGAGGGUGGCAGGCCACACUGGGACUGAGACACGGCCCAGACUCCUACGGGAGGCAGCAGUGGGGAAUCUUGCGCAAUGGGCGAAAGCCUGACGCAGCAACGCCGCGUGGGGGAUGACGGCCUUCGGGUUGUAAACCUCUUUCGACAGGGACGAAGCUUUCGGGUGACGGUACCUGUAGAAGAAGCACCGGCUAACUACGUGCCAGCAGCCGCAGUAACAC
rnacentral:rRNA from 1 species